rnacentral:lncRNA from 1 species
UGCUCUACCAAAUACCCCCACACUUAGCCUUUUGCUUGUCCUCAAGCAAAUAAACAUAGUCAAAUAAGCUUUCUCACUCUAGAUCCUUAUUUCCACUUAAACUCUUACUCUAGACCCCUAUUUUGAAUCAUUGCAGUGAAGAAUAUAUGCAUGAAGAUUACUCACCUUCUUUCCUUGUUUCCCUUUACUUACCAUGGCUAGGAUUUGUUUUCCUCAAGAGAGACCAUACAUGCACAUUUUUAUUAAGACUUUUUCUAACUUUUGGAUUGACUUGCCCUUACCUUGAAGUACUUUAUUCAGGCUUUUGCGCUUUAGAUCUCGCUUGGAAAGGUCACCAACCUAUUUUUGAUUUGAAGGUUUAUAUUUUUCAGUUGGUCAN